GUGGAAAAAGAAUCAACAGCAAUAGAAACAUUUCAAAUUUUUAGAAAAUACAAAAUUGAAACUAACUAAAAAAUAUGGGGAUGAGGUGAGAGGUCAGAGGUAAAUGCUACAAAUUAUAUCACAUUUUGGCAACAAAAUCACUUAGACAUUAAGUUCCAUGAAAGCAAUAACAAUGCCUGUGGUUACUUUUCUUUUUUCGCCAAAACCUAAUAUUGGGGUUGUGCCCUUAAUAGCUGCUCAGUAAAUAUUUGUGGAAUGAAUAUAAAGAAAGACUAAAUUAUUUGUAGUCUGCUUGAAGGAUAGACUUUAGUCAACUACAGAUCAUCUUCCUGUUUAUUUUUCUUCAGGUGAAAAGCAUUACAUGCUAUGCUUCAUCAAAAUAAGAGGCUUAAAACAGUUAUUCUGAACAAGCAGCAUCACGACUGCAUGUUAUAUAUUUUCCAGAGGUGCAUAAGAAGCUAAAGCAGAGAAGAGUUUUUAAGUCAUCAAUAUUUGUACCCAUAGAGCUUGACCAGCAUUUCUGCUGCCCAUCACCUUGAGGAAGAUGCUUUCUCCAGGUUCAGCAACAUCACUGACUUUGCUUUUGGAGGAUCCACCCUGCAACCUUUUUACUCUUCGGAGUGUAAUUCAGAGUGCACUUCUUCAGGAACUCAUUCAACUAAAGACAGGCCCUACUGUGUGAGGUAGAGUGUUGAUGGACAUGGAGAGGAAGUGAGAAUGGUUGUAAUGAAGCGGUAUUGUUUGUCUGAGGUAAUACCCCAGGUUCAUUGCCUCAUACCAGGGAAAUCCAGGAUGUGGACACACAACGAGUGCGUUUAAGAGCAGAGGUUUAACAGGUGAAAGAAAGAGAAAAGAGAAAAUCUCUCUCUUGCAGAGAGAGAAGGGUUCCUGAGUGGGUCUCUGGUUCCAUGGUGAAAUGCAUGAGGUUUUAUAGACAGGCUUGAAGAGGCAGUGGUCUGAUUUACAUAGGGCAUGAGAGAUUGGUGGGGCCAGGUGUGCCAUUUGCAUAGUGCAUGAAGAAGCUGGCCAUCCCACCCAAAUCUUUUAUUAUACAGAUGGGGUCUCU
rnacentral:lncRNA from 1 species